UACAGAGGGUGCAAGCGUUAAUCGGAAUUACUGGGCGUAAAGCGUGCGUAGACGGUUACGUAAGUCAGAUGUGAAAGCCCCGGGCUCAACCUGGGAAUUGCAUUUGAGACUGCGUAGCUAGGGUGCGGAAGAGGGAAGCGGAAUUUCCGGUGUAGCGGUGAAAUGCGUAGAUAUCGUAAGGAAGACCAGUGGCGAAGGCGGGUCUCUGGACAGUUCCUGACGCUGAGGCACGAAGGUCAGGGAGCAACGGG
rnacentral:rRNA from 1 species